UACGGAGGGUGCAAGCGUUAAUCGGAAUUACUGGGCGUAAAGCGUGCGUAGGCGGUUUGUUAAGUCUGUUGUGAAAGCCCCGGGCUCAACCUGGGAAUGGCAAUGGAUACUGGCAAGCUAGAGUGUGUCAGAGGAUGGCGGAAUUCCCGGUGUAGCGGUGAAAUGCGUAGAGAUCGGGAGGAACAUCAGUGGCGAAGGCGGCCAUCUGGGACAACACUGACGCUGAGGCACGAAAGCGUGGGGAGCAAACAGG
rnacentral:rRNA from 1 species